UAGAUAUGUAAUUAUAUGUAUAUUUGAUAUUCAUAACUUCUACUAAAUCUUUUAUUUCUUUUGAUAUCAUCAAAUUUGGAAAAACCUGUGUAAUUCAAUUCAAGGUAUGAUUUGAAAUUUUUUAUUCAUCAUACAUAUUUUAACACAAUCAUGGCCAAAUACGUAUACAAUUUUCGUGCACGAAUUCAACAACUUUCGAUUUGUGCAGAGAUCAAAUCUAUUGUUAGAGCCCUCAUUGUGAACAUAAAGUUUGGCCGCACGGUGCUGGCUUGAUGAAUGACAUUAGCAUGUCGUAGUGUUCAAUUGUAUUGUUAAAUUGGGUAUUUAUCUGUCCUAACGUUUUCCAUUUAUUUGUAUUGUAGUCCUGUCAUGUAAUGUUGCCAUUUUAGUGUUAUACCGGUAUUUAACAUUGCCAUAAAAGGUUUGGCUAGCAACAAAACCAGGUUCAACCAACCGUUUUUUUUUUCUUAAAAUGUCCUGUACAAAGUCAGGAAAAUGGCAAUUGUUAUCUUAUAGUUCGUUUCUGUGUGUGUUCCAUUGUAGUUUUGAUUUUUUGUUGCACUUAAGUGGUUCUGUUGUUUCGUUGUAUUCCUCUUAUAGUUGAUGUGUUUCCCUCAGUUUUAGUUUGUAACCCGGAUUUGUUUUCUCUCAAUCGAUUUAUGACUUUCGGAACAGCGUUAUACUACUGUUGCUUUUAUUAGUGACAAGACGAAUAUCCCUUUUUUUUAUGAAACAGCUGCAAAUGUUCAUUCCUAUUUCGUUACUCUAAUUCUGUGCAUGUCAUGCUAAGCUGAAAUGCACAUUCAUGAACAAUGUGUACGUCAUCAACUUUUUUAUUCGAAAAAAAAUAUAAAGUGAAAUUCCAAAACAUAUUUCAAUGAGCCGUAAAGUUUUUUUGUAGUAUUUAAAAAAAAAACCAACUCUAAACCGUUUUAGAUUUUAAUCAAAAUUGACUUUGAACUAGCUGUCGGUAAUUUGCAAUUUAUCUAAAGUCUGUUUUUGUUUUUUUUUGUUGUUUAUUUUUUUUUUUUUUGGUGGGGGAGUAUUUUCUGAUGUGCUUCUAGUUGAUCCAGUGAGUCUUCCCUUUUCUUUGGUUUUUAAUUUUAUCGGAAGGUUGACGACUAAUUUUCCCUGAAGUUACUUUACACUUGUGCUAUUUUUAACACUUCUUUCAAUUUUAACUGAAUUCAUGGUUUCACAACCCAUUGUGUGUAUUUAAUAGUGCUAAUAAUAACAACAUUACUUAAUUCUAAAUAAAUUACAAAAUUAUAAAUGCCCUUAGAUACACAAAUACAACAAUUUUGGUAGAUUUGGCAAAUUGUCAAUAGCAACAUGUAGCGCUGAAUAGCAUUUUUAUAUCAUGAGAAAAUCUAAAAUAGUGAAACAAUGUUUGAAGAACUAUUGUCUAAAGUAUAUCAAAAAGAUUGUUUGAUAUUCAAUUUCCAGUAACUUUUACUCCUGUGACUGGAACCAAUACAGGGGAAAUUGACACUACCGUUUUGUUGGCAACCAUUUGUCCAUUAAAACUUUCUAUUUUUAUGAAUUGUGGUCGGUAAGUUUGAUAAUUUUAUGGUUAUCUACCAGGUAUCUGACAACAGAACAUUAUAAAUGGUUGGUCGCAAGAUUAAAAAAAAAUAAAAACAGUGUUAAAUGAUUGUUUCGGCAACUUAUUCAAUCCCAAUUUAUAAAAGAUCAUUAAUGGUAACAUUUACUAUUAGAUACAUGUAUAUAUAUAUAUAUAUGUCUGAAAAUUACACCAAACAGUGUUAGAGUUAGAUUUCCUAUACUGACAAAUUUUGUCCGUCCUCAGCGGGAUUCGAACUCACCCACCGUUUUAUACACUACAGCACCAAUCGCUUAGCCGUCAUGACCAGCGCUCUAGACACUCGGACCACAUCCGGCAUAUAUAAAAAAUAUAACUUCAAUAGUCUAGAAUUAGAUGUUGACCUGAUGUCACGGAAGUGGAAUCUCAGAGAUAGACAAUGAGACACGUGUUUUUUAAGCGUGUAUAUAAGUAUAUAAUAUAUAUAAGUGUCUUUGGUACUAUUAAUAAACUCAUCAUAGAUACCAGGAUUAAAUUUUGUAUAAACGCCAGACGCGUUUCGUCUACAAAAGACUCAUCAGUGACACUCGAAUCAAAAAAGUUAAAAAGGCCAAAUAAGUACGAAGUUGAAGAGCAUUGAGGACCCAAAUUCCUAAAAGUUGUGCCAAAUACAGCUAAGGUAAUCUAUUUGGUGUUUUUUAUUGUUAAUUGUAGUAUGUGAUUUAUUUUGAGAAGUUUUCCCAUUGUUUGUGUCAGUGGCAGGCAAGUACAUGUAUCAUAACAUAAACUUUGGUUAAACUAUUGGCCCUUUUUGAUUUAACGAUACCAGCCGUGUUGUCCUGAAUACGCAUUUUGACAAUUCAUGUAUUUUCAGACAUACUCAUGACAUUGAAUUUGUAAGUGAUAUCUUGAAAUAAUUUUAAUUUUGGAUUGUAACGCGUCUUCUAAUUGGUGACGUCGUGUUGUUUCAGCCAUAGACAUAAUUUUGUCAUGUGACCGUGACGUCAUCAACGUUUUUUCAUGAUUUUACUCCGGUUUAAAAUGGAUUUUAGAAUUAAAUUAUAAGAAAUAACUGUAACAUUUUUUCUGUCUAUUCGAAAUAACAUAACAAAUGUAGUGCACACUUUAAAAUAACCCGUUACGCGCGUUAUUCAGUGUACAUCACAUUUUUUUAUGUUAUUUCUUCAUAGACAGAAAAAAUAUUACAGUCAUUCCUUAAAGAAGUUAGAAUAAAAAAUAUGGAAACAUUAAAUGAUUUCAUCAUUAAAAAUUAAGACAAUUUUUUGUAACAGGAAUCUCUUAUAGAAUCACACAGUAUUUUCAUAUGCAAAUCUUUAUCAGAAGCAUCUGCCUUAUGCAUAUUUUUUUUUUAUCUUCAAGGAAUAUGAAACUGCUACAUUUGUUAGUUAUAACGAUCACAACAUAUGUAAUACAUGCUGAACCUGUCAUUGAAUAUUGCUGGACAAAGUUUAACGGAGAAUAUAAAUAUAUCCAGUUUGGAAGAGAGAUGUGGUUUGAUCCAUGUUAUUUUUGUUGGUGCUAUGAAGGCGGAGACCCAAGGGACCGCCCAACAAGAGCAGGGUGCAACACGGUAGAUUGUCCAUACAUAGAAUGUCCUCCUGGAACACAAUUACAACCCGUCAAGAACAAAUGUUGCCUCGAGUGCAUGGCUAUUUAAUGUCAAAUUAAAUAGUUGUACAAGUUUUUAUUGUUUGAAUAAAUAUGUAAAGUUG
rnacentral:lncRNA from 1 species